AUCCUUCUUUGGUUUCUAAGCAUGAUGAUCGGGUUGACACAUGACUGUGUUACAUGUGCCUCCCUCCAAACCUUGUUGCAAUGUUAACACAUUACUCAUCUGAUG